rnacentral:rRNA from 1 species
AUUGAAUGCUGGCGGCAGGCCUAACACAUGCAAGUCGAACGAGCGGCGGACGGGUGAGUAAUGUAUGGGGAACUGCCCGAUGGAGGGGGAUAACUACUGGAAACGGUAGCUAAUACCGCAUACCAUCGGAUGAACCCAUAUGGGAUUAGCUGGUCGGUGGGGUAACGGCUCACCAAGGCGAAGAUCUCUAGCUGGUCUGAGAGGAUGACCAGCCACACUGGAACUGAGACACGGUCCAGACGCCUACGGGAGGCAGCAGUGGGGAAUAUUGCACAAUGGGCGCAAGCCUGAUGCAGCCAGGCCGCGUGUAUGAAGAAGGCCUUAGGGUUGUAAAGUACUUUCAGCGGGGAGGCGUUACCCGCAGAAGAAGCACCGGCUAACUCCGUGCCAGCCGCCGCGGUAAUAC